rnacentral:rRNA from 1 species
UACGAAGGGGGCUAGCGUUGCUCGGAAUCACUGGGCGUAAAGGGUGCGUAGGCGGGUCUUUAAGUCAGGGGUGAAAUCCUGGAGCUCAACUCCAGAACUGCCUUUGAUACUGAGGAUCUUGAGUACGGGAGAGGUGAGUGGAACUGCGAGUGUAGAGGUGAAAUUCGUAGAUAUUCGCAAGAACACCAGUGGCGAAGGCGGCUCACUGGCCCGAUACUGACGCUGAGGUGCGAAAGCGUGGGGAGCAAACAGG